rnacentral:snoRNA from 1 species
UAGCUGGCUAGAGCAAUGCCUGUUUUUUCCUCUGCACUACAAGGUGUAUUUACCCUUUUAAAUGUAUUCAGAAAGCCAGCACAUUA